GCGCACGGGUGCGUAACGCGUAUAGAACCUACCUUUUACAGGGGAAUAGCCUUUAGAAAUGAAGAUUAAUACCUCAUAGCAUUGAGAUUUGGCAUCAAAUUUUAAUUAAAGAUUUAUCGGUAAAAGAUGGCUAUGCGUCCUAUUAGUUAGUUGGUAAGGUAACGGCUUACCAAGACAUCGAUAGGUAGGGGUCCUGAGAGGGAGAUCCCCCACACUGGUACUGAGACACGGACCAGACUCC
rnacentral:rRNA from 1 species